rnacentral:rRNA from 1 species
AUUGAACGCUGGCGGCAGGCCUAACACAUGCAAGUCGAGCGGAUGAAGGGAGCUUGCUCCUGGAUUCAGCGGCGGACGGGUGAGUAAUGCCUAGGAAUCUGCCUGGUAGUGGGGGAUAACGUCCGGAAACGGGCGCUAAUACCGCAUACGUCCUGAGGGAGAAAGUGGGGGAUCUUCGGACCUCACGCUAUCAGAUGAGCCUAGGUCGGAUUAGCUAGUUGGUGGGGUAAAGGCCUACCAAGGCGACGAACCGUAACUGGUCUGAGAGGAUGAUCAGUCACACUGGAACUGAGACACGCUCCAGACUCCUGCGGGAGGCCGCAGUGGGGAAUAUUGGACAAUGGGCGAAAGCCUGAUCCAGCCAUGCCGCGUGUGUGAAGAAGGUCUUCGGAUUGUAAAGCACUUUAAGUUGGGAGGAAGGUCAGUAAGUUAAUACCUUGCUGUUUUGACGUUACCAACAGAAUAAGCACCGGCUAACUUCGUG